UUCAUUUCUUGCUUUUCAAGUCGCCAACCGUCUUCCAUAUUUCUUCCGAUUUCUUCCUCCUUUUGGUUUUCGAUUUCGUCGCUGUUGAUUCUGAGCGAAAUGGAUUCCGCAUUUCAGCCUCGUUUGAGUGGCUUCAGCGUUAAUUUUGCAGAGCUUUUCCUCUUCAAGCUCGCGUCUCCAUUCCUUUACCAGAGAAAGUUACUAGGCGCCAUAGCUUCUGCUCUCAAGGUGGACAAGGGAAAAGAACCCAUACAGACUGAAGAAUAAAAAAGAAAGCUGGUAAUUGCAAAUUUUUUUUAUCUAAUUUUAUAU